UUUCAGGUUUUGGUUUGUAUCAGCAUACAGGUUCGCAACGAUUGUUUUGGUUGUUCAUUAUAGAUUUCACAUUUACAUAUGUAUACUGAAUUUUUUAUUUUUGCUACUCAUUUUAGGUUAAGGUUUGUAACAUCUUACACGUUUGUGCUCGGACGAUAAUUGUUUAUUUUGCCUACUCAUUUCAGGUUUUGGUUUAUAACAACUUAAAGAUUUAGCUUAAUCAUCAUAGGUCCCAGGGCAGAAUUCAUGGGUUGUGGCCGCGAGCAUGUUGUAAAGUUUAAGUGGUCUAGUAUGGAAGUUCUUCUUCAUCAGACUGCUGCCCAUGCCUCUGAAAGAUUUGGAUUUUAGGCAAAAACUAUGAAAAAGAUUGUGCUGAGGCUACAAUGCCAGAGCUGCAAACAUGUCUCCCAACACCCAAUUAAGAUUUCUGAUGUGGUUGAUUAGGAAGUCUGCAAGCUGGAUGAAAAGUUCAAGGAAGGGAGUCAUGUUCGAGUUCGUGUUCUUGGCUUUAGGCAUCUAUAAGGAUUGACAAUGGAUGUUUUAAAGUGUUUCUAAUUGUCUUACAAAUUCCCUGCUUUAUCUUCAAACAGGUGACACUGGCACACUUCCUUUUCUCUGCCAUUAUUAUAUUAUGUCUAGCUCACCAAAGAUCGACAGAAGAAACCA